rnacentral:rRNA from 1 species
GGACCCGCACAAGUAGUGGAGCAUGUGGUUUAAUUCGAAGAUACGCGCAGAACCUUACCAACACUUGACAUGUUCGUCGCGACUUUAAGAGAUUAAAGUUUUCGGUUCGGCCGGACGAAACACAGGUGCUGCAUGGCUGUCGUCAGCUCGUGUCGUGAGAUGUUGGGUUAAGUCCCGCAACGAGCGCAACCCUCACUUUUAGUUGCCAUCAUUAAGUUGGGCACUCUGAAAGAACUGCCAGUGAUAAGCUGGAGGAAGGUGGGGAUGACGUCAAGUCCUCAUGGCCCUUACGUGUUGGGCUACACACGUGCUACAAUGGUAUCUACAACAGGAAGCAAGACGGCGACGUUAAGCAAAUCCUUAAAAGAUACCUCAGUUCGGAUUGCACUCUGCAACUCGAGUGCAUGAAGCUGGAAUU